GGGUUGUGAGGUUAAGCGACUAAGCGUACACGGUGGAUGCCCUGGCAGUCAGAGGCGAUGAAGGACGUGCUAAUCUGCGAUAAGCGCCGGUAAGGUGAUAUGAACCGUUAUAACCGGCGAUUUCCGAAUGGGGAAACCCAGUGUGACUCGUCACACUAUCAUUAACUGAAUCCAUAGGUUAAUGAGGCGAACCGGGGGAACUGAAACAUCUAAGUACCCCGAGGAAAAGAAAUCAACCGAGAUUCCCCCAGUAGCGGCGAGCGAACGGGGAGGAGCCCAGAGCCUGAAUCAGCAUGUGUGUUAGUGGAAGCGUCUGGAAAGGCGCGCGAUACAGGGUGACAGCCCCGUACACAAAAGCGCAUGUGCUGUGAGCUCGAUGAGUAGGGCGGGACACGUGGUAUCCUGUCUGAAUAUGGGGGGACCAUCCUCCAAGGCUAAAUACUCCUGACUGACCGAUAGUGAACCAGUACCGUGAGGGAAAGGCGAAAAGAACCCCGGCGAGGGGAGUGAAAAAGAACCUGAAACCGUGUACGUACAAGCAGUGGGAGCACCCUUUGGGGUGUGACUGCGUA
rnacentral:rRNA from 1 species